CUUUAAGUUUUUGCCCCGAGGACUUUCAAAUCCAGCUUUUACGCAUUACUACCUUUCACAGGGCCACAAGCCUUCCUUGACAGGAACACGUAAACAUAGAUUGUUUAGAGUGUUCAGGCAAACAGCACGCUGUCAUUUGUUUGAUAAACAAAGUGCAGACUGGAGUCUGAGUGUGAAUGAAGCAGCUGGUCCCAGUAAGACAGGAAAGGAGAACACCCUGCAUCCAUUUCUGAGGCAUCAGUUUCAUCAGUACGACUUUAUACGUGUGUGUUUCUGCAGGUUUGAGAGUGUGUGACAGACGGGAGUCCCGGAUAUCCUCAUAAAGACGGAGUGUCUGGCACCUCUUCACAACAUUCUCCAUCGUUCCUCUCAGGACUCACAAAUGUGUCGCUAUGAUCU